rnacentral:rRNA from 1 species
AGCAGUCGCCGCGGUAAAACGAAGGGUGCAAGCGUUAAUCGGAAUUACUGGGCGUAAAGCGUGCGUAGGCGGUUUGUUAAGUCUGUUGUGAAAUCCCCGGGCUCAACCUGGGAAUGGCAAUGGAUACUGGCAAGCUAGAGUGUGUCAGAGGAUGGUGGAAUUCCCGGUGUAGCGGUGAAAUGCCUAGAGAUCGGGAGGAACAUCAGUGGCGAAGGCGGCCAUCUGGGACAACACUGACGCUGAGGCACGAAAGCGUGGGGAGCAAACAGGAUUAGAUACCCCCGUAGUCCCUGUCUCUUAUAC